CUUACCUAGGAGUCAGCCCCAUUGAAUACAGUGGCACUUACUUCCAGGUAGUAUUUGUGGGCUGCCUUCCGUUUCCAAAUAUUUAAAGGCUGAAAUUAUUCCCAGCUGUCUCAUGCAAAUGUAAACAUGAUCUUCCCUCUUUCUUCUCUAGUCCUUCAGAUCUUUCCCCCUUCCAUGUAUAUUUUUGAUGAGGCCUUUCAACCUGUGACCUCUCCAGAGACUGUCAACACAUUUUGGUAGAUUUGAACUGCUAUGUCAACAGGCAUAGCUAUCUAAACCCGAUAGCGAGGUGGCUGCUUGCGAGAUCCGACCACAAUGUCUUCUUGUCACGGUGGGGUGUUCUAUAAAUUGGCGAGCAAUGGCUUUUGCAUUCUGACCCCAAAAACACGGUUUCUGGGGGCAGUUGACUGGAAGGUUUUCUCAUAUCGCCUUUCAGAGAUGUGCAGCAGGUUUUGUAUUCCAAAUAAGAGCAAGCAAACAGAGCGAAAGGGAGAUUCAGAUAUUAAUCCAUUCAGUAGACACAUGGCAUUGCUGCCCCUUACCUCAGAAUAUGGGACAAAAUGUAUAAUGGAUUUGCUUCUCAAAAUAGUCAAUAAAUACCAGAAUUGUCAAAUUACCUAAAACCACAAAUCAUUACAUAGCAAUUUAAACAAAGAAAAUAUGUUACAUCCCACAUAGGUCAAGCUUCACAAUAGCAUUGUAAGGCAAAUUGCUACAGCUCCAAUUUUAUUGAGGGCCAAUUCAAAUCUAGUCUAGGCAGUUCAUUUCUAAGCAAUGAGUGCUCUGUGGUUUGUUAAGGGUAGUCCAUUUGUUAAGCGUGCUGAGAAUUGAUAGUAGACCCCUAUUUCUCUCAAAUUUCAAUAGAAUUUUAUUUCCUAUUUCUUUUUCUUUUUUUCUUUUUCUUGUUUUGGUUUUGAGAAGUUUUAUUGUUUGAUUAAAAGAAUUUUAUUUCCUAUUUCAACACUUGGCUUAUAGCGUCUUCAGACAUAACAUUGAAAUGAACAGGAAAUGAACGUUCCUCACACAUCCUGUUUUCCCUUACUGACAUUAACUGAAAUAUCUCCCUCCCCAUCCUUUUUCUUCCAAACCAUAGUAGUAGGACUGGCCCCACCAUUAGGCAGAGUAAGGCAACUGCCUCAAGCGGCAGCUGUUGAGGGAGCAGCAGUCCCACCUCCAACCACUAUCUCCUUAGCCUCCAGACAAUGGUUGGACAUCAAAGCUAUGUGAACCACAGGACUGUUGUGCAUCCGCUAAACUAGCCCGCUGCCCCCAAAUUCCCUGAAAAAUGCUUUCCUCUUGCCCGUGUUGAAGGAAAAGACAACAACUAGUUCAUUCACGGAAUGGGCAGGACAUCAUGUUAUAUGCUAGGGUUGCCAUAUUUUGAAGAGCAAAAAAGAGGACGCUAUGAUGACUCUCAUUUUAAAUACCCUACUGGAUGUAGGCUAUAGGAGCUGUGGUAUAUUUCUGAGUAGGGCAGGAGAAAAGAAGAAGAAAUUAAGUAUUCAGCCACCAGUUAUGUCUAUGUCUCAUCCAGAAAGCAUAGCCAGAGACCGUUUGGCAAAUUUUAAAAAUCCACCUGGGCAGAAAUUUUACCCAUGAAAAAGAGGACGUGUCCUGGAAAAAGAGGACACAUGGCAACCCAAAAUUGUCUUGGGCUGGUCCUGUAGGUAGAUAUGGAAGCUGUCUCUACAUUGAGAAUUUAUCAAUUUCUUGGUGAUGAGAGGGUGCAAAUUGAGGUUGUUGAGGGUGUUGGGAAUUGUAGCUCAGGAACAACAGUUCCUGGGAUUCUUUGAAGGGAAGUGCUUUCGGUGUGCAUUAUUAUUAUUAUUAUUAAUAAUAAUAAUAAUAUUAAAACCUGGACCCGCAGGUUUUUCCUCAACCUACAUCUUAAAUGGUUCAUUUAAUGCAGACACAUUCAAGGGCUGGGUACCAAAGAGCAUUCUUCAAGUAUUAAUAAAUAUCAGUCUUAAUAUUUCAUGACAAAAAGCACCUCUUUAGCUAUGAUUAAAUAAACCCACUCCUUACCUAUUAGUUACUGACAUAAAGACCGUGAGCUACAGACUAUGCUGUUCCAACAGCCAAGGAUAUGUCCCAAUAGCUGUCAUGAGGUCAUCAAUCCACAGUAAUUACAUUCAUCUUUUUCAUUGAGAUAUUUUUCUGUCUGGUUUACAAAAUGAUGCCCCAGGUGGAGAGUUAAGGACUGAUUCCCGCCCCCCCUCUGGGAACGAGCCCUUCAAAAGCAGUUCUAUUAAAGAGACUAUGCACAACUUCAUAAUCCUAUGAGUGAUCGUUGCAGAAUGCGUCUUCAAGUUAAAUUACCAGCAUGGCAAGAAUUAUUUAUGUGAGUUUUAAAAAUACAUAACAAACGCAUUCUUAAAAAAAGAAGAAGUGGAAAUAUACCAGAAAUUUAAACUCAAUAACAGGACCUACUGAUUGAUUUGCAUGACCUUUAGCUUUUUUGCUGUUCUCUGACAGGAGAGAUGCUAGUUAAAUGUCAACUAUUAGCAGUUCGAAAGCAUGUCAAAGUGCAAGUAGAUAAAUAGGUACCGCUCCGGCGGGAAGGUAAACGGCGUUUCUGUGCACUGCUCCGGUUCGCCAGAAGCGGCUUAGUUAUGCUGGCCACAUAACCCAGGAAAACUGUCUGUGAACAAACAUUGGCUCCCUUGGCCAGUAAAGCGAGAUGAUCGCCGCAACCCCAAAGUCAUUCACAACUGGACUUAACUGUCAGGAGUCCUCUACCUUUUAUUAUUUCCUUUUAACUUCACUAUGGAUAUGUUUGUUAUUGGAUCAAGAGGGAACACUGAUCAUCACAUGGAUUUAACUGCUAAACUUAAGGAAGAUACUAGAAAGUCUCAACCACAUUUUCCAUGCGCACAAAACAUAUUUGGUGGGUUUCCCCUCUUGCCUACCUAAAUGUAGCAUUUUACAAAUAAAAUGUGAGUUUCAUUUAUGCUAUAUAGAUAUGGGAAGAAGAGAAAUAUUUAGCCUGGUAAGUCCAUGUUUGAUGGAGAAGCACAUAAACAGCUUUCGGAAAACCAAAGAAUUUAAAUUUCACCUUCUGAAAAUGUCAGGUAAUGCUAAACAAACAAACAAACAAACAAACAAACAAACAAACAACUGCAAGUACUGGGCAAUCAUUUUAAUUAUUUCUCUGCUAUUUUACACACAUUUUACCUACCAAGCAAAACUAAAUGAUAUUAAUUUAACCAAAAUAUAUUUUUAAUACCCAAGUGAUGUUACAACUUUUUAGCACCCCUCAGUUCUGGAAUUUUGAAAGUUGCCAAAUUCAACAUGCCCUAACUUUGGUGCCUAGGAGAAUGGUACUAAUCACAACUGUGGCAUAAAGGGAAAAGAUAACUCUCCUUCCUUUAUGCCAUCAUCAAAAUCCUGGCCACACACACCCCUGCGACUGUUAAGGAAAACCCAAUUGUAUCAAAUGCAUUCACAUAUUUAAAGUCUUGUUUGGCCCUAAAUCAAGGAGGACAGAAGAAAGUGUCAGAGAUGGGGGAGGGAAUCCAUGGUAUCAGUCCUUGCUGUGCCUCAGGGAAUGACAUUAGUCAGGAUUGUGGGGUACAGGGUGGUAGAAUUAAGGAAUUAAUUGAGAUUCACCAUCCCUUUUCCAUUUAUCAAGCUUAAUGGGUAUUUUGCUAGUAAAAAAAUAACAAUGCCUUGCUUGCUUCUGCUCAAAUCAUUGGGGCAUUAAUAUGUUGGAUAUGACUGUUUCAUACCCUAUUUUUCAGUAGGGUCUAUUUGUCUGUUUUUCCCAUCUGCCCCGUGAUGUUUUUGUGUCGCAGCUGCUCUUCUUGUCCUUGGUUUGAUGCAAUGAGAGAAUAUUUUAAGGCUGCCCACUGUGGAAUCUGGAGAAGCGGAGCGAUGACACAGCAGCAAACAAUUUAAUUAAAAAUCAUCUUGAAAUAGCCAACCGCCAAAUUUAAGAAGAAAGAAGAAAUGAUGGGUAAGAAGAGCCACAGAUCUAUUUUUGGAUACGAAUCAUUUCAAAAUGUAUUGACUCACGAUGUUCUGAAGACUUCUUCUGGCUAUAUGAUAUUGUGGUUUUCUGAAGUGAAGCACUGCUUUCAUCCUUCAUUGUACAAUACGUUGAAACUUAACUUUACAAGGGCAG